GAAUCUUCCGCAAUGCGCGAAAGCGUGACGGAGCAAUGCCGCGUGCGGGAUGAAGCCCUUCGGGGUGUAAACCGCUGUCAGGGUUCACUAACACAAUGAAGAGACCCAAAGGAAGGACCGGCUAACUCUGUGCCAGCAGCCGCGGUAAUACAGAGGGUCCAAGCGUUGCGCGGAAUCACUGGGCUUAAAGCGUACGUAGGCGGGCGUGCAGGCACUUUGUGAAAUCCCCCGGCUCAACCGGGGAAUUGCUUGGUGAACCGCACGUCUUGAGGUCGGUAGGGGUCGUCGGAACGCUGGGUGGAGCGGUGAAAUGCGUAGAUAUCCAGCGGAACGCCGAAGGUGAAGACAGGCGACUGGGCCGAUUCUGACGCUGAGGUACGAAAGCGUGGGGAGCGAACGGG
rnacentral:rRNA from 1 species